CCGUCAUCGGAUGAGUCCGCGGCCCAUUAGCUAGUUGGUGGGGUAAUGGCCCACCAAGGCUACGAUGGGUAGCUGGUCUGAGAGGAUGAUCAGCCACACUGGAACUGAGACACGGUCCAG
rnacentral:rRNA from 1 species